rnacentral:rRNA from 1 species
UACAGAGGGUGCGAGCGUUGUCCGGAAUCACUGGGCGUAAAGGGCGCGUAGGUGGCGCGACAAGUCAGUGGUGAAAGCUCGACGCUCAACGUCGAGUCGGCCACUGAUACUGUUGGGCUUGAGCACUGUAGAGGCUAAUGGAAUUCCGGGUGUAGCGGUGGAAUGCGUAGAGAUCCGGAGAACACCGGUGGCGAAGGCGGUUAGCUGGGCAGUUGCUGACACUGAGGCGCGACAGCGUGGGGAGCAAACAGG